UUUUCAUUGUUUUAUAUUUUUACACCAUAUAUAUAAAGUAUAAGGUGUUAGAGACUUUUACAUUAACACUGUUUUAUUUUUUAAAUCCAGAUUCUGUUAACUUUACUGUUAGGAAAAAGCAAACAAACCCAUCUAUUGGCAUGUUAAAAAAAAAAAAUUUCCAGAAAAAUACAUUCUUCCUGAUUAGUGAUUUUUUUUUUGGUAUCACUGUUCUGUUACAUAAUGUUCAGUAAAUAUUUAACAAUAUUCAGAUAAAGAGUCAUCAAUUAGAAAUCUUUACCAAACUUCUUACCCAUAAAGGUUGUCUAUUGGAAUGCAUGUCCAGUGUUUAAAAUUGAACUUUUCAUCCAUGUGUGUAUCAUUGAGAUUUCACUUUCCUUAGCCAGCUGAACAUUGAGACCAGCUUAUUCUGUAGACUUUUAAAAUAAUUUUACCUAUUUUCCCCUUAGACUUAGAAUAAUUGAUCUUACAAUAUUUGUUCUAUGUCAUAAUUUCCUUCUGUGUUAUUUAUUAUAACAUUACAUCAACCAUACAUAUAUUUUAAAAUAAUAGUGGUUUAGUUUUAAAUUACUAUUUUUAUUUUGUUUUUGUUUUUUUUUUCAGAAUGAAGUGCAAACAGCAAAAGAAUUUAUAAAGAUUGUAGAAGCUGCAGAAAAUGAAUACCAGACUGCCAUCAGUGAGAAUUAUCAGACAAUGUCGG
rnacentral:sRNA from 1 species